GACGAACGCUGGCGGCGUGCUUAACACAUGCAAGUCGAACGGUGACGCUGGAGCUUGCUCCAGCUGAUCAGUGGCGAACGGGUGAGUAACACGUGAGCAACCUGCCCUUGACUCUGGGAUAACCCCGGGAAACCGGAGCUAAUACCGGAUACGAACCGCACGGGCAUCUGCGCGGUUGGAAAGUUUUUCGGUCAAGGAUGGGCUCGCGGCCUAUCAGCUUGUUGGUGGGGUAACGGCCCACCAAGGCGACGACGGGUAGCCGGCCUGAGAGGGCGACCGGCCACACUGGGACUGAGACACGGCCCAGACUCCUACGGGAGGCAGCAGUGGGGAAUAUUGCACAAUGGGCGAAAGCCUGAUGCAGCGACGCCGCGUGAGGGAUGAAGGCCUUCGGGUUGUAAACCUCUUUCAGCAGGGAAGAAGCGAAAGUGACGGUACCUGCAGAAGAAGCACCGGCUAACUACGUGCCAGCAGCCGCCGUAACAC
rnacentral:rRNA from 1 species